AGAGACAGCAGUCGCCACGGUAAUACGGAGGGUGCAAGCGUUAUCCGGAUUUAUUGGGUUUAAAGGGUCCGUAGGCGGAUCUGUAAGUCAGUGGUGAAAUCUCACAGCUUAACUGUGAAACUGCCAUUGAUACUGCAGGUCUUGAGUAAAUUUGAAGUGGCUGGAAUAAGUAGUGUAGCGGUGAAAUGCAUAGAUAUUACUUAGAACACCAAUUGCGAAGGCAGGUCACUAAGAUUUAACUGACGCUGAUGGACGAAAGCGUGGGGAGCGAACAGGAUUAGAUACCCCGGUAGUCCCUGUCUCUUAUAC
rnacentral:rRNA from 1 species